GUGAACGCUGGCGGCGUGUCUAAGGCAUGCAAGUCGAACGAUUUUUCUGUGAUUACAUCAAGGAAAAGUAGUGGCAAACGGGUGAGUAACACAUUGGUAACCUACCUCAAAGACGGGAAUAACCUGGGGAAGCCCGGGCUAAUACCCGAUAAGUUCUGCUGUUUAUUUCAGCAGAGUAAAACUACGGUGCUUUGAGAGGGGCCUAUGCUUCAUCAGCUAGUUGGUAGGGUAAUGGCCUACCAAGGCUACGACGAAUAGCGGGCGUGAGAGCGCGACCCGCCUCACUGGGACUGAGACACUGCCCAGACUCCUACGGGAGGCUGCAGUCAAAAAUAUUCCUCAAUGCACGAAAGUGUGAAGGAGCGACGCCGCGUGAUUGAUGACGCCCUUCGGGGUGUAAAGAUCUUUUAUCAGGGACGAACUAAUGACGGUACCUGAUGAAUAAGGGGCUGCUAAACUCGU
rnacentral:rRNA from 1 species